GAAUCGCUAGUAAUCGCGGAUCAGCACGCCGCGGUGAAUACGUUCCCGGGCCUUGUACACACCGCCCGUCACACCAUGGAAGUCUGCAAUGCCCGAAGCCGGUGGCCUAACCACUUAUGUGGAAGGAGCCGUCUAAGGCAGGGCAGAUGACUGGGGUGAAGUCGUAACAAGGUACC
rnacentral:rRNA from 1 species